UGGGGAAUAUUGCACAAUGGGCGAAAGCCUGAUGCAGCGACGCCGCGUGAGGGAUGACGGCCUUCGGGUUGUAAACCUCUUUCAGCAGGGACGAAGCGCAAGUGACGGUACCUGCAGAAGAAGCACCGGCUAACUACGUGCCAGCAGCCGCGGUAAUACGUAGGGUGCAAGCGUUGUCCGGAAUUACUGGGCGUAAGAGUUCGUAGGCGGUUUGUCGCGUCGUUUGUGAAAACCAGCAGCUCAACUGCUGGCUUGCAGGCGAUACGGGCAGACUUGAGUACUGCAGGGGAGACUGGAAUUCCUGGUGUAGCGGUGAAAUGCGCAGAUAUCAGGAGGAACACCGGUGGCGAAGGCGGGUCUCUGGGCAGUAACUGACGCUGAGGAACGAAAGCGUGGGUAGCGAACAGG
rnacentral:rRNA from 1 species